ACGCUGGCGGCGUGCCUAAUACAUGCAAGUCGAACGGUCUUUUCUAUGGAAGCUUGCUUCCACUGAGAAGAUAGUGGCGAACGGGUGAGUAACACGUGGGUAACCUGCCCAUAAGAGGGGGGAUAACAUCCGGAAACGGGUGCUAAUACCGCAUAGUUUUCUUGAUUGCAUGAUCGGGAAAGGAAAGACGGCCUUUGUGCUGUCGCUUAUGGAUGGACCCGCGGCGUAUUAGUUAGUUGGUGAGGUAACGGCUCACCAAGACGAUGAUACGUAGCCGACCUGAGAGGGUGAUCGGCCACAUUGGGACUGAGACACGGCCCAAACUCCUACGGGAGGCAGCAGUAGGGAAUCUUCCGCAAUGGACGAAAGUCUGACGGAGCAACGCCGCGUGAGUGAAGAAGGUUUUUCCGGAUCGUAAAACUCUGUUGUCAGAGAAGAACAAGUUGGAGAGUAACUGCUCCAGCCUUGACGGUAUCUGACCAGAAAGCCACGGCUAACUACGUGCCAGCAGCAGC
rnacentral:rRNA from 1 species